GUACUACUGAAGGGUCCCAAAAUAGGACGAAACAGCUGUCCAGUAC
rfam:Trichobilharzia regenti genome assembly, scaffold: TRE_scaffold0017458